UUUUGUGAUGUCAUGUUGGUGAGCAUGUUAACGUAUCCAACUUCACACUCUAUGAAUGGAUGAAUGAAAGAACGAAUGCCGCUCCUUUCUAACUAUAUAGAAAAGAUAGAGUAGGAAAUAACAAAAAUGUCAAAAAUAACACUGCAAAAUUUAAGUGUCCUAGAACAGUGCUUAAAGCUGAAUUAACAUGAUGAUUUUAAAUUUGUAUUGUUUAUUUCUUGUCAUUGCGACUUUGACGCAGCUGUUGUCAUGACAACAGAUAACAAAACAUGUUUUGUUGAAGGAUUAUUGAUGAAUAAUUUUCCACAAAAAAUUGGAUUUUAACCACGAUAGGAAAAUGAGAACCUGCGCCUAUCCGUUUAAACCGAUUGUAGAAUUUAUGGAAAGAUAUGGCGAUCUGAGUAUGCCCACUGAAGGGCCCCAAGAAAGAGCCAACAAUAAGUCAACGGUGGGUGGAACUAACGGACACGCGAACGUGAAAUGCUGAUGCCACCGGCGACACGAAAACUACUGAGAAAUUGAGAAAAGUGUGGAGUGACUUUAAACAGCAAGAAGAAGGGAACUCGC